GUGUGUGUGUACAUUGGAAACGGGGUCUCACUAUGUUGUCCAGGCUGGAGGGCAGUGGCUAUUCACAGGCGCAAUCACAUUACGGAUCAGCAUGGGAGUUCUGACUUGCUCGGUUCCCAACCUGGGCCAGUUGACCCCUUCUUAGACAACCUGGUGGUCCCCCAAUCCCAAGUACUUUUACUUUUGAGACAGGGUCUCAGUCUGUCACCCAGCCUGAAGUACA